rnacentral:lncRNA from 1 species
CGUUUCUCCUCCUCUCCAUGCGCAAUCAUGGGCUUCAAGGCACGGGCGAUCUAUAAGAAGGGGAGAACGAGAGGAGGAGAAAGGGAGCUCUUGGUUGGGGCUAAGAUACAGAGGAGGUGGGCGGCUAGUUCAAUAGAAAAAAAUAAGGGAACCUCUGUUUUCCGAGAAAAAGGAAAUAAAGAAAAAAAAGAGUAUUUUAUUUUAUUUGUUUUGGGAGUUCCACCGAGGGGGAGCCAUGCUAUAUUUUCUUUUCUUAUUUUCUUGUAUUUUGCAGAAGAAAAGAAGAGGGAGUUUCUUGUUAUUUCUUACUUUCUUUGUAGAAGAAAAGAAGCAUAAGCUUCCAAUCUUCCUUUUUAUUUUUGUAAUUAGUUUUCUUUUUAUGAAAUCAAGCAAUUUUCUUUCAUGCAAUCCAUGUUCUAGGUUCAGUUUAAUUUUCACUUUUUAUGCAAUCUUUUAAUUUUCUUUUAUGCAAUUUAUGUUCCACGCUUCAA